rnacentral:snRNA from 1 species
GUGCUCACUUCAGCAGCACAUACACUAGAAUUGGAAUGAUACAGAGAAGAUUAGCAUGACCCCUAUGCAAGAAUGACACACAAAUUUGUGAAGCAUUCCAUAAUUUU